rnacentral:lncRNA from 1 species
AAUCACAAGGGCAAACUGUGGAAGAAGCAAAGAAGAGUGGAAGUGAGAUCUCACUGUGUUGCCCAGGCUGGUCUUGAACUCCUAGCCUCAAGUGAUCCUCCCAUCUCAGUGUCCCAAAGCGUUGGGAUUACAGUCUUUAGGCUUUAGUGAAUUGAAAUCCUUCCAGAGAUUACACAUUGAAGAUGUGAUCAAAGAUGAACUCAAGAUGUCAUCAUGGAAAUCAGAGACGUGAUCUUGCUGUGUUUCCCAGGCUCCUCUCUAACUCCUGGCCUCAAGCAAUCUUCUCACUUCUUGAUAAAGACUCUUUAGUAGUACCAGGCAAGCCAGAUCAAAAUAUUCCAUUGAUCUUUGAUGUGAUUUUGGAGAAAGGAGAGGGAAGGGAAAAGUGAGAGAAAAAUAUAAGUACUCUAGGGCUUGAAAGUGAAGGUGAGGAGUGGAAUGAAAAGAGAUGAAAGUUAAAGAAACUUGAAAUUAUAAAUCUUUCUCUUCAUUUUAUCAUAUUAUUAAUAAUACAGAUCCUAGAGGAGUGGUAUCAAAAUGCCCUCUCCCGAACUCUGGAGAAACAAUGAUAUUGAAGUGAUAGAUCUUUCUGUGAAAAGGAAGUACUACUAUUACUUAUUUAUAAUUUUAUAAUACAGAUGUAAUUAUAAAUCACAGGUUUAUGGUUAUACUUUCUAUAAUUCUA